rfam:Gossypium raimondii Chr09_contig_1730, whole genome shotgun sequence.
UGUUAAAAAUUUCAUCAUUUGUACUAUCAAAAACUUGUGUGGCUAACGUAAUAACCAAACAAUGACAUAUGGCUUGUCACGUGUACUUCAUGCUAAUGUAUAGUAACCAAUUUUUACCAAUAAAAAUGAAUGAAAUUUUAAAAA